rnacentral:rRNA from 1 species
AUUGAACGCUGGCGGCAGGCCUUACACAUGCAAGUCGAACGGUAACAGGUCUUCUGAUGCUGGCUAGUGCGGAACGGGGGAGUAAUACGUCUAGACGUGCCCGAGCUUGUGGGGUAACGGAGCGGGAGCUGUGCGAAUACCGCGCACGAGCUACGGGGGAGAGCGGGGGAGCGCUAGGGCUUUCGCGGUCUGAGCGGCGCAGGGGGGAUUAUGGAGUGGGGGGGGUAAAAGGUUACCAAGCCGACGAGCUGUAUCUGGUCUGAGAGGAGGACAAGCCACACUGGGACUGAGAACCGGCCCAGACUCCUCGGGGAGGCAGCAGUGGGGAAUUUUGGCAAAUGGGGGAAAGCUUGAUCAAGCAAUGCCGCGUGCAGGAUGAAGGCCUCCGGGUUGUAAACUGCUUUUGUACGGAACGAAAAGACUAUUUCUAAUACAGAGGGUCCAUGACGGUACCGCAAGAAUAAGCACGGGCUAACUACGU